UGGCGACCGGCGCACGGGUGAGUAACGCGUAUCCAACCUGCCUUACACUCUUGGACAGCCUUCUGAAAGGGAGAUUAAUACAAGAUGUUAUCAUGAGUAAGCAUUUUCGCGUGAUUAAAGGUUUACCGGUGUAAGAUGGGGAUGCGUUCCAUUAGAUAGUAGGCGGGGUAACGGCCCACCUAGUCUUCGAUGGAUAGGGGUUCUGAGAGGAAGGUCCCCCACAUUGGAACUGAGACACGGUCCAA
rnacentral:rRNA from 1 species